GCGAGCAAGGCAAGUCACAUCAUCCUUGAACAUAUUGAAUCCCAGUUUAUAAAAUUAUUUUGAUUUAAAUUUUUGCAUUAUCGCUUUAUUUAAAUUCCCGCGUUAUCACUGUUUUAUCUAGCCAUGCCUAUGUACCUUUGUUAUGACCUUAUUAUUGUUAUUGUUAUUAUUUCCUUGUUCACCCUAGAAUAAACAAAACCCCAACUAGUGGACACUCUACUCAAGGUACCACUAGUAUGAUUUUAGUUAGAUGCUUCGCUGGUUAAUUAGGUAACAUUAGGUGGUUUACAACUCUAGACUUUGGGAAUACUCUUAUCACCUGGACACUAUGGAAUUGUUGGAUUAUUGUGGAAUCGGAUGCACACCUCCCCCUCUAUUCAAAAUCCUCAAAAUGGUUUUAGGCUGGGCUCGGGGUGCAUGGUUUUGAUAGUAGCACCUCGGCCAUAUAAGGACCGGUCUUCGGGCCUCUGUUGCAAAGCACUACCGUACUUCCACAUGUCUAGUGGGUAAGGCUUAGUUUGUGGCUCAGUCUGGUUAUAAACAAAAGUACACGGAUGGAGAUGGACGAAGUCGGGGGUCGAUGGACAUCUCUAGGGCAAAUGAAGGCUACACGAGCUGCGGCCUGGUAGUCGAGAUGUCAUGGCACAGGGCCGGUGUCCUGCUGCUAGGGGCUUAGUCCUGCCUACCUGUCCCGGAGGUUUCGGCCGUAGGUGGGGUUGGGUCAGUACUCUUGUCUAUGGCUAGGAUGGGUUGGAAACUAUGUCAUGUCUUCCGUCCGUAUACCAUGGUGGUAUAUGGCACGUGGUUACACGUGAGGAAGAGGUGUCUUGUGGGUAAAGAUGUACACCUCUGAUCAGAGUAUAAUCUAUUCGAAUAGCCGCGCCCUCGGUUAUGGGCAAGCCGAGCAAUGUACCCAAGUUAGUGUUGUAAUUCUUAAAACCUGCUUAACAACUAAAAUGUGGAAUGGUUGGCCUGGGUUGGCUUGGGACGAGCUGGGACCCAGGGUCGGGUUGCUAGUUCGGUCUGAAUUAUCGUAGGCCUUGGGUUAAGGCAGGUUCGUGUGGGUUCACGGCCUUGUUUAAUAAUCUUGUAUAGCUCUAGGAUCGUAUUUACAAAAUAGCUUUGAGCAACUAAGUGUCUUUUAAUGCUGUUUGCUGCAAACCCUAACCCUCUAUAUUAUAACCCCCUUGUACUCCCUUGCAUUUAUCCUGCACUUGUGGGUGUGUCUUGUUGAGUACGGUGGUUGUACUCAGUCUUGCUCAAUUUUUGCCAAACCCAGAAGAGGAGCCCCUGGAUGAUGAAGGCUUUGGUGUCUAGCUCGCGCCUGCCGUCAAGCGCCUGUGGUCGUCGCCCUAGUCUUCCGCUGUUUCCCGUUUGUCUUUGUGUGUGCUGGGCCUUCGCCGGCCAUGUAAUAAAUUAACUAUUUACGCUUCCGCUUGUUAAACUCUGAACUGUAUCAACUUUUGGUGUACCUUGCCUCCUGGGACAAGGAAUAAUGCACGCACGUAAGGAACGCCCGUUGGGUUAUUUCCGGUCGUGACAAGUUGGUAUCAGAGCCCCCUUGACCCUAGGACGAGCCGUAGAUCCCAAGCCUUAGCAAUAUUUUCAAAAUAAAAAUCCUUUCUUAUUUGUGAAAAUCCUUUAGUCUCUCUCUGUCCUGCUGCUUCAUUUAUCGUCAAAAUCUGAUCUUUAAAAUGUUGCUUUUCUCUUUUGUUUGUAGAUGGCCGGCAGCAUCAACCGUCGUGGUCUGGACCUGACUGGCUUCGUUUUGGAGCUGCGGGGCAUGUGCGUUGUCCUGGGGUAUCCGCAUGGAGUGGACUACCAGGGCAAGCGGCUCCCGGAGCAGGAGGGUGACGAUGCAGAGCCCCACGCUGCUUGGGAGAUUACUGCAGUGAUCCUCACUGGCUCACCCGAGAGGACUUCGUUGGUAGUCACCGUGGGUGGAGAUUCCUUCUCUGCCGCUUGCCAGAACGCCGCACUCCUCGCCAUCGGCACUCUCCACCAGUGCUACCCGAACGAGUUGCAGCACUCGCCCUACCGCUACCACCCUUGCCGCGGAGGAGCCCGCGACUACGCCACCUUCCGGGAUGCUAGCUCGGAGGAUGACGCUACCAUCAUGCACCUGGCGCGCAUGGUGGAGGCGUACGACGCGGCCCAUAUCGACUUCCAUCAGAUGGUGCGUCGUGGGUUGGUCGAGAACAACAUGAAGAUCCUGGAGCUGCGUCAGGAGAAUCUGCAGCUGAAGAAGGACCUAGACGCAGUGGACGCGCAGCUGCGUCAGCUCAAGAUCGCCCAGGGAGAGGUCUGUCGCCCCAAGCGUCGCCGCGUCUGCCGCAGCCUGAAGAUCACCGCCCGCAAGAGUACCUCCAGGCCCGAGCUUGUUCGUCAGUCCCUGGCGUGGACCUGCUUCGUCGAGACCCCUCGUGCUGAGCCCGCGCCCGUGGUUCCUCAGGAGGAUGGAGCCUCCGGCGUUGGCAGCACGGAGGAUGUGCUGCUGCUCACCUUCCGCCCUGGCCCGUCGCAGUAGUAGACGAGCAGUUAGUAGGCUUGCGUGUGUGUUCUUCUCGUUUGUUUUUCUGCUAGAGUCGUAUGGGGCAUGGUUAUGCCGGUGUGUGGUAUAACUGUGUCGGAGCUUGUCUUUAUUUUAUUUGCUUAAGCAACUUGAACUUUAAUGAACCAAUUUAAUAGCAGUAAUAAAUUCAAGAAUUAUGGUAGUCGUGGGUGGUUAGUUUUAAUUGUCAGCUCUCUCUGUUUGCUGGUUCUGUGUGGGGUUUUCAGAUGGUGACAACCAGGAGAAGUGCUGCUACCGGUGAAGGCAGUCACCCCGAAGGCAGCAACCACAACAACCAUGGCAGCCCACCUCCACCUCCUCCCCCGCCUCCACCACCACCACCAGACACCAACUCCAUCCUCACCCAAAUCCUCGCCUAGCAGGCCAACAUGAUGGCUGCUUUCCUCCACCACAUCCAAAAUCCGCCACAACAUAAUGCUCCACCACCACCCCCACAACACUCUAAACUCGCCGAGUUCCUCCGCAUCCGUCCACCUACCUUCUCUAGCUCCAAUAACCCCGUGGACGCGUUGGAUUGGUUGCAUGCCGUGGGGAAAAAGUUAGACACCGUGCAGUGUAGCGAUGAGGAGUAAGUCAUCUUCGCCGCCCACCAACUGCAGGGGCCCGCAUCUCUAUGGUGGGACCAUUUCCAGGCUAUGCAGCCAGAGGGGCAGCCUAUUACUUGGGCCCGCUUCACCGCCGCUUUCCGGAGAACCCAUGUGCCCGCCGGAGUCAUGGCCCUUAAGAAAAGGGAAUUCCGAGAGUUGAAGCAAGGCAACCGCUCCGUGAUGGAGUAUUUGCAUGAGUUUAACAACCUGGCCCGGUACGCCCUGGAGGAUGUUCGUGAAGAUGAGGAGAAGCAAGAGAAGUUCUUGGCAGGAAUGGACCCUGAGCUGUCCGUGCGUCUGGUCUCCGGGGACUAUCUGGAUUUCCAACGUCUGGUGGACAAGAGCAUCCGCUUGGAAGCCAAGCACAAGGAACUGGAGUCGCACAAGCGUCGCUUGGCGAAUUUCCGCAACCAACAGGGGGCUAACCAAAAGGUCCGCUACACCGCUACACCAAUCCCUAUCCAGGGAGAUCCUCCUCGCAGCAGCAACAGCAGCAGCAACCUCGCUCCGCGCCCCGACCUCAAUUCGUGGUGCGCGUCCCACAGCCGCAGCAACAGCAGAGUCAGCAAGGGACUCGUGCGCCCCGUCCUCCUACGCCAGCCGUGCAGCCUGGUCAAGGCCGCAGGGACGUUCAAGGUCAGCAGUGUCUGUGCUUCAACUGCUUCGAGCCUGGGCACUUUGCGGAUAAAUGCCCAAAGCCGAGGUGCCAGCAAGGCCAAGCGCCUCCCCGCUCCAACCACGGUGGUAAGGAUGUCAUACGGGGUCGUGUGAACCACGUGAUGGCCGAGGACGUGCUGACAACUCCAGACGUCAUCGUUGGUACGUUCCUCAUUCAUUCCAUCCCUGCUACCAUUUUGUUCGACUCUGGAGCUUCCCACUUGUUUAUAUUUGUGCCAUUCGUGGGGAGAAAUCAGUUGGGGGUAGAAAGGCUUAGGAACCCUCUGCUCAUCACCACCCCUGGAGGGGUUAUGACAGCAAAGUAUUAUAGCCCUGCCGUUCCUAUAGAAAUUCAGGGAAUUCCUUUUUCCUCGGAUCUGAUUCUUCUAGACACCAAGAACUUGGAUGUGAUCCUUGGGAUGAAUUGGUUGGCUCAAUUCCAAGGAGUAGUGGAUUGUGCAAGACGCACUGUCACUCUGUACCGAGGGCCGGAACAACCGGUUGUUUUCUUUGCACCCCCAACCUCUGUCGGUAGUUCAGAACUUCAUCAGAUAAGACUGUCGGAAAUCCCCAUCAUCAGAGAGUUCGGAGACGUGUUUCCGGAAGAACUACCCGGUAUGCCGCCCAAGCGAGAGAUUGAGUUCCGGAUAGAUCUUGCUCUAGGAACCACUCCUCUGUACAAGCGACCCUACCGUAUGGCAGCAAAUGAACUGGCCGAAGUCAAGAAACAGUUGGAAGAGUUGAAAGAAAAGGGGUAUAUACGGCCGAGUACUUCCCCCUGGGGUGCUCCUGUGAUUUUUGUGGAGAAGAAAGACAAGACGAAGAGGAUGUGCGUUGAUUACAGAGCUCUCAAUGAAGUUACUAUCAAAAACAAGUACCCUCUUCCCCGGAUCGAUGAUCUGUUCGAUCAGCUUAAAGGUGCCACGGUAUUCUCCAAGAUUGAUCUUCGUUCCGGAUAUCACCAGUUGCGCAUCCGUGAAGAAGAUAUCCCGAAGACCGCAUUCACCUCGCGAUACGGACUAUAUGAAUUCACGGUGAUGUCGUUCGGUUUAACCAAUGCUCCUGCCUUCUUCAUGAACUUAAUGAACAAAGUGUUCAUGGAAUACUUGGAUAUGUUUGUUGUGGUUUUCAUUGACGACAUUCUGGUGUACUCACAAUCAGAGGAAGACCAUCAGCACCAUCUCCGUCUGGUGUUGGGAAAGUUGCGGGAACAUCAAUUGUAUGCCAAACUUAGCAAGUGUGAGUUCUGGUUGUCCGAAGUCAAAUUCUUAGGGCACGUGAUAUCUGCUAAAGGAGUUGCUGUGGACCCCGAAACAGUGACCGCCGUCACUGAUUGGAAGCAACCUAAGACAGUCACUCAAAUUCGCAGUUUUUUGGGUUUGGCAGGAUACUACCGGAGGUUCAUCGAGAACUUCUCCAAAAUCGCUCGACCCAUGACACAGUUGUUGAAGAAAGAAGAGAAAUUUGUGUGGAGCCCGCAAUGCGAGAAGGCAUUCCAAACUCUCAAGGAAAGGCUGGUUUCCUCGCCGGUUUUAAUCUUACCGGAUACUCGCAAGGACUUCAUGUUGUACUGUGACGCUUCGCGCCAAGGAUUGGGAAUAUUCAUAUCACAUGGACAUUGGAAUGGUUGGAUUAUUGUGGAAUUGGAUUCACACCUCCCCCUCUAUUCAAAACCCUC
rnacentral:lncRNA from 1 species